GUUCGAGCAUGCAUUUCCACUAAUUACAAUUUAAAAAAGGGGGACUGUCUAUAAAUGAAACUUUACAUGUAAAAAUUGGACUUUGCAUGUGAAUAUAACGGAUUCUGCAUGUGAAAAUGAGAGGAUACGCACACUGUAAAAAAAAAAGUGAUAUUCUCCCAUGGGGUCAAGAUUCCCAGUCUAGGGGCCAUGACUUUCAUAACCUCCUUGCUCAUUAUCACUACUCACGUAGCUCUUAAAUGUGAUUGGUAUUCAGGAACAAAGAUUUCUACAGUUUCAAUAAGACGGUUUCAAGAUUAGAGCUGAGUGUAGCAGCCAAUAUCUACAUUUAAAUUUUUGCGCCAAUUUGUACACGUUAUCCGCGCGCUACGUCAUAGUUUUUAGGGCACAUAUAUUUUUUUGUGUAUGCACGAGCUCGCUGCGAAGAAUGUGAGUAUUAUGUACCUGUUUCACUGGACAUUGUACUGAACUGCCGUUUCUUAGAGAAACUACUUAUUCGUAUAUCGUAUGAAGUUGAGGAAGUCACAUGAUGCCAAUCAUUGACUUAAGAAUAAAUUUUCCAGGCAUACGCAUAGACGAUUUGUUUCUAUUCAUUAUGGACGGUGGCCAGUACACUGAGACUCCUGUGUAGGAGGUGCAUUUAGUGGAACUUUAAUUGAGUGCUUAAGUGGGACAGAGUGGACCAACAUGCAGUUACUGAGAAAGAUGAUAAACGUAUCAAAAUCGACUUCUCUUUAAAUAUUUAAUGUAGGAAAUAAACAAUUACCAUCAAAAGAAA